AAUGGAUAUCAGAGUAGAUGUGGCCAUACAGGAGAUAUUCUGGAGCCUGCUGGGCUGCAUUAGCUCUCAAAAUUCCCCUAAACUAUAAAAGGACAUUAAGAAUGCACUGUUAAUGAGACAAGGCUCCGGCCAGGGGCAAGCAUGCACUUUUAAUAUUCAAACGUAAUGAAGGAAAAAAUGGAAUUCUUGAGAACACAAAUGGAUUAAAGCUUUACCGCCUUAUCACUAUCUUAGUCUCCACAUAGAUCCUCAACAUAUUUAUUUAUUUUUGGAAAAAUUGAAAGUGCAUAUAUAGUCCUUUUAAAUGGGUGACUGUUAAUGGUUUAUUAUUACUCCAGAGCCCACCAGAACUCAUCAGUUUGCAAUGAGUGGUUUGGUUCAUCUUGUCUAGGUGAUGAAGCCAUUGUAAUUUGGAUCAAGAAAAUUUACACUUACUUCUCCUCUUGUGCUGAAAGAGACCCAUGGCAGCCUUCAUUGACAGUCUCUCAUCCAUUUGGCUCUAAACAUCCUGAGUAACCAUUAAGUGGCUAAGUGCAGCCAUAAACACCUAUAGGCAUUGCUGGAUGGAUGGAUGUGUGUAUACAUGUGCUCUGAACAGAAAUCUAGACUUUCCCCUGAAGCAAGGAAAACAGUGCCUGUAAAAAUAAUGAGUUCAGCAAGAUUUUGAUUGUUCAUGCUAUAUUCAGAUAAUGGUACUUUCCUGAAACUUGAAGUAAGUUUCUUCCUGUGGAUACCAAAUAUAGUGAAUUUCAGGAAAAAGUAUUUUAUGGACAGUCUACCUUUACCUAGAACUACUUUUCUAGAGUAGGAAGCUUUAUACAAAUGCAGAGUAUUCCAUAUUAAUCUCUUGAAGAGCAAAGAUUAUCUUAAUUGUAAUUCUGAUGUGUCUAGCUUAAUGCCACAAGAUGCUCCAAUCUACUUCAGUUAACUAAGAGACUUACAAGCUAAUUUCUUACAGUGUUUUACAUAUUCAGCAAUCUACAUUGUCAUUAUUUAAAGAUGAAAAGAGGGAGUUGUUUCAAGAUUAAAUGUUAAAAGAUGCAAACUAACAUGCUUAUUUAAUUAAGGAAGCACACAGAUGAGUGUGUGGGAAGAAUAUCAACCUGAAUAUUGUGUGUUAUAGAUUGAAUCCACUGCUAGUUUUCAUCAUAGUCUUGUUAUCUGAAACUUCUCAUCUCUUUCUAAUUGAAAGAACACCUGCUCUUUAUUUCUUAUUGAGUUUGCUGUUUUCUGUUUUCAUUUGCUCUUAGGAACAUCUCUAAAGACCAAUUGCCAGAUUAUAUCCUUAAACUUGCUUCUUCAGCAUCUGGAUAGGCAAUUACCUUGGAAAGGAGAAGUUAAGUCAAAGUUUUCAAAAUUUGUGUCUGAGGUUUCUUAUAUAUGACCCCUAUGAGGAAUAUGCCUCUUUUAGAAAGAUAAAUUAUAAUGUGAGCUCCCCACUAUUCAGAAAACUGGCUUGCUAUUGCACAGGAAGAUGCAUGUGUCUACUCUGACAAAAUAUUGUGACAAAAUCCCAGAAGCAAUUAGAAACUGUAUAGAAGUUUUAGGUUUCAAACCUAAUUUUGGUUAGCUCAUAUACUGGAUAUUAUAUAAAUGAUUAGACUUUGAUGUCUGUAUCAAAGUCAGAAGAGUCAAAUUACAAUAAUCAAAUCUCAAUGAGUGUAAAUUUUAAAACAUUAAAUAAAAAAAGCAAUAUUGAGAUUUUUAGAUUUUCCAAUGAAGUAAGGUAAAUGUUUUAAAUAAUAAAUAUCUUAGGUAAGAUGUGUGGUUUAUUUAUUUAUUUAUUUAUUUAUUUUUGUCUUUUUAGGGCUGCAUCCAGGACAUAUGGAAGUUCCCAGGCUAGGGGUCAAAUUGGAGCUGCAGCUGCUGGCCUGUACCACAGCCACAGCAACAUAGGAUCUGAACUGCGUCUGCAACCUUCACCACAGCUUGUGGGCAAUGCCAGAUCCUUAACCCACUGAGCAAGGCCAGGGAUCAAACCCACAUCCUCAUGGAUAUUAGUUGGGUUCGUUACCACUGAGCCAUGAAGGGAACUCCCAAAUGUGUGGUUUUUAGACUAUUAUUUUGUGUUUUAUUUUAUGGUAAAAGCAAAAAAUAUAUAACAUUUCUUGUUAUUUAUAUCUACAAUAUUUUAUAAUUUCAAAAAAUAAGCAAAUAAUUUUAUAUUAUGGAUCAUUUACAUUGUAGUGUUUGUUUAUUAAUGUCACUUUUGGUGCCAAACGUUUGUUAUAUACUAAAAACAGACUUUAUUUUAAAUGUCUGAACAUCUGUUAACAUUUUCUUAUAUUGGAAUAAAAAUUAUGCAAGGCCAAAGUUAAUAUACAAAAGCUUCUAUUUGUUAAUGAAAUUAAACUGGGACACAUUUUUAUUUUAAACAAAGUUGUGGUAACUUAAGCAAAUUAAAAACUAUCCAUAUUCUUAAAAGUCACAGCGUACACUGAACAACAACCAAAAAUUAAUAAUUUCAGGAUGUUGAUAACCAUUCGUAACUGCAUUGCUUAGAAUUAUUCAUUUCCUUUUUUAUCUUAGAAAAAAUUUCAUCUGAUGGGAAAGGUAGAAAACAUUCUCCUCCUUUCUUUAAAGAGAAUUCCAAUAAUUAUAGAUUUUGAGUUUACCAUUUUUUUCAAGACACAUAUCAUCAUAAUUUUUUGCAGAACAGGAAGUUAAUGGGGUUCGUGUCAAGCUAUCUUCUUAUUUUUUGGUUUAGGAAUCCUCUUGAAAAUUAUUUAUCAAAUGUACAGAGAUUUCUAUACCUCCAGGAAAUUUAUAAAUCUAGUAGGAAUAGCACAUUUAUGAUUUAUAACUUUUUUCAUGUGUAGGCUAAUACUGUUUAGUAAAUGGGAAGGAGGUAUUAGAGAUAAUUUUAAUGUGCAUUUUAUAGAAUUAAUACUAAUAAGCCUAUACUAGAAAAUUAUUUUUACAAGUAUAAUUCUUUCUUUGCCUCUUAAAAUGUUUUAUAUGUAGAAACACUGAAUUUUUCUACAAUAAAUGUAUGUGUUCUACAUGUUUUCCUAAAGGAAAAAAAAUGUGUGUAUUUUACAUAAUGCAUAUUUCCCUUCUGUAUGCUGUAACAUUUAAUAAAGUCAAGGAGUUCCCACCAUGGUGCAGUGAAGAACCUGUCUGUGGUGGCUUGGGUUGCUGUGGAGGUAUGGGUUUGAUCCCCUGCUGGUGCAGGGAUUAAAGGAUCCAGCACUGCCACAGCUGCAGCGUGGGUCAUGGCUGUGGUUCAGAUUCGAUCCCU
ensembl:lncRNA